rnacentral:rRNA from 1 species
CAAUAACGUAUAUUAAAGUUGUUGCGGUUAAAAGCUCGUAGUUGGAUUUCUGUUGAAAGCGAUCGGUCCCCUCUCUGAGGGCGUAUCUGAUUCGCUUUUGGCAUCCUCCUGUAGCACGUUUCUGUCCUUCACUGGAUGGAGCGGGAUGCAGGACUUUUACUUUGAGGAAAUUCGAGUGUUCACAGCAGGCAAUCGCCCUGAAGAUAUUAGCAUGGAAUAAUAAUAUAGGACCUUGGUUCUAUUUUGUUGGUUUCUAGAGCUGAGGUAAUGAUUAAUAGGGAUAUUUGGGGGCAUUCGUACUAACCGGUCAGAGGUGGAAUUCUUGGAUUCGGUUAUGACGAACGACUGCGAAAGCAUUUGUCAAGAAUGUUUUCAUUGAUCAAGAACGAAAGUGUGGGGAUCGAAGACGAUCAGAUACCAU